GAAAUAAUAGGGUAUCAUUAACAUUCUUCCAGAUACAACAGGUAAAAUAUUGCAAGUAGUAAAAAAUGAGGGACUUUGUAGCAAAGAGAAAAGGUUCUGGAACACUCUAUAGGACUCUCCAGAGGCAUAAAGGUAAAAUGGAAGCUCUUCCAUAAUCCCAGCUUCAUUUCUGUAGCUGCAUACCAGUCUUCAUUCACCGAGUUAACUGAGCCCAGGCAAAGCGAAUCGCUAUGGCCAUAAUUUCAGAUUAUCAGGAGGACGAGAACGAGACGAAGCCGAGAUCGAAUUCAAAUCCGUCAUCGUCUUCUUCAUCUAAAACGCUGUCGUUUAACGCGACGUUCGAUCCAAGGAAUCCUAUAGGGAUUGUGGAGAGGCUGUUCGAUUUUCUGGUGAAGGAGACCGACUUUAUGGCUGAAGACACUGUGGAGAAGCAAAUCGCGGCUGUGGUGAAGGCGGCCAAGGAUAAGGCUAAGAAGAAGAUGGCCGGGGAAAGAGAAAGGGAAGCUGCUUUGGAAGGGAAUGAGAGCAAGAGGCUGAAGGAGGAGAAGAAGCCUGAUGUUAAGGAGGAGAAGAAGGUUGAGGUCAAAAGGGAGAUAAAGGCCAAGGCCAAGGAGGUGCCAAUGGAGAUCGAGAAGGAGGAGGAGAGUGGCGCCAGAGGUAUGAAUUUAUUCUGACUUUGUAUCUUUUUUUUUAUUAUUUUAUGUUUGUUGAUAACUUUUAUUUGUAUGGUUAGAGAAAUUGCAUAGCGUAAAGUGUAAAUUUGCAUGCUUACCCGUUUAAUGGCGGAGAAUAGACGAUGGCAUGGUUUUUCCCCCCUAUCCUUUACUUGUUAGUGGCAAGAACGUUGAGAAGUUUGCUUUGCUAUGUGAUUAUUGUUUGUAUUGUGAGUUCUUGGGACCUGGAAUGAUUUAAAACUUUAGGAUUAUGCCACAUUUCAGUCUUGGCUAAUUUUACUCUGCUACUGUUCAAUACUUUUUCUGUAGAAUUUAGACGACAAUGGCAAUAGAAAAGGAAAGAAAGGACGGGAAGCCUGAAAUCACGUACAAAUUUUGUAAUUCUGGUAUUUGGACAAGAAGGGUGAUUGGAUAAAAUACAUAGUAUUUGAUGCGGGUAUAUCAAUGCAUGUGAAGAAUAAGAUGCAGCCAUUGGCAUCUUUUCCUUUUGCCUGUGACUUUCUCAAGUGUCGACUAUUGUUUGUUGUUGAUGAUGUGGGAAGAGAAAGGAUGGAUAUAAUUUUGGGCCUCGAGAGUGUGAAGUAAAUAAAAUGUUGAGACCCUUGAAUGUUUGUGAAAGAAUUAGGCAAAUUCACCUUUAUUAGGUUCAAUCCUUAUUAGGUGUGCCUCUCUAGUCCAAGCUUCUAUAUGUUACUUGUUUGUAUUGAUUAGCAAGUAUAUGUUAUUAGAACUCUUUUCCUUUCAAUCUGCUCUAGAUGUAAAUUUUGCUCAUCCCUCUGUUUACAAAUCUUAUUUUUAGUAUAAUACAUCUGAAAAGCUGUCUUUUUCUUAAAAGUUAAGAUUGUGGGAUUUGUUGCUGACAUUGGAAGUUACUUUUUUUGGUUGCUCAAAGAUGGAACCUCAUAUUGUGUUUUUGAAACUGGUUAUAGUUUGAACAAAGCUUUAAACUUAAUACAAUGAAGAACUGAGACCAUAUGACAUGAUGGCACAUUUGAAAUUAUUAUGGUCAAUGACAGUGUAAGGUUUCUUUUGAAAUAACAGGUGUUUGAUAGAUUAAGCAAAGGUUUAACUUGUUUCCUUAGUACAUAGCUUCAUGCUUUCUCUAAAAAUGCAUCCUCCACCCUGGUAAUCUUUUCAUAUUUAGUUAAAUCUAUUUUUCUGCGCAACUUUCUUGCGAGUGUUAAGGUUUGUAUGUUGCCAUUAUCUGUUAAAGCAAUCAUAUGCACCUACUUGGCUGCAUUUCUCAUCCAUUAUUCAUCAAAUUAAUUGGUUUAGAAGUUACCUGUAUAUUCAUUUAGAGUGAAGAUAUUUCACUAUCUCUUGGUACUUACUUUUUCCAUUACAUCUAAUGUGUAAUGCGUUAGGGGCUGUUCCAAACAAAGGUAAUGGCCUCGAUCUGGAGAAAUAUUCUUGGACACAGACCCUACAAGAGGUUAAUGUACUUGUUCCAGUCCCUGUUGGUACAAAAUCAAGGUUUGUUGUAUGUGACAUAAAGAAAAACCAUCUGAAAGUUGGACUGAAGGGUCAGCCUCCUAUAAUUGAGGUAAGUUUGAACAUAUACUUGUUUUUGUGUUGAAAUCAAUAUCUUUUAGUUUGCGUGGAUCAUUUUCCUCUCAUUAAAUGUCUUCAAAUACUUGCAGGGAGAACUUUAUAAGCCUAUCAAGGUUGAUGAUUGCUAUUGGAGCAUUGGUAUGUUAACUAUUACAUUAAUGAGAAGUGCGCCUAGUAUGUUAUUAAUUCUCUUUACCAUAAUAUGAAAUGGAAAUAUUGAGCUUUAAGAAAUUUUGGGAAACCUUUAGCAAAUACAACAAAGUUAACCGUAUGAAUGUUUUGAGUGAUAUCUGUAUAGAUAUUUGUCCUCUUUGUUGCUUGUCAAGAGUCGUUACAGUAAAUGCUGAGUUGCUUAUGGUGUAUUAAAUUCUGUGCUGUUUCCAGAGGACCAAAAUACCAUCUCAAUUCUUUUGACCAAGCAUGACCAAAUGGAAUGGUGGAAAUGCUUAGUGAAGGGAGAUCCUGAAAUUAAUACUCAGAAAGUUGAACCUGAAAAUAGCAAACUAGCUGACCUGGAUCCUGAAACACGGCAGACUGUUGAAAAGAUGAUGGUAAAAUUUGAUGCUUUUUACACAUUCCUUUUGUUGAUAUUAUUUCCCAUCUUUUAUCAAUUGGGAUUUUCUGCCAGAUGGAAGGUCUUAAUUGAUGUAGCAGUUGGUUUUGUUUGUUGAUUAGCUUGAACUGUUAUUGUGGUAAUCUCUAUCCUGUUUUAAGGAUUCCUGAGGAUUUUGUUUCCCCUACUGUAACAGUUUGAUCAGCGACAGAAAUCAAUGGGUCUCCCAAGCAGUGAUGAGAUGCAGAAGCAGGAGAUGCUCAAAAAGUUCAUGGCUCAGCAUCCGGAGUUGGAUUUCUCGAAGGCCAAGAUAUCAUAAGAUUGGAAUGUUUAAUUUGGCGGCAGAGGGUUAGUCUAGAUGGCUGGGGCCUCUCCUUAUCCAGUGGGAUUUCUUUUUGUUGGGCUUGGAAUGGGUAACUCUAAGGUUUGGAUUGGUUGAACUCUGUUAACAGUUUUGGAGUUGAAAAUUUUUAAAUAGACGUGUGCUUUGCGGUCCCAAAUUUAAAUAUAGCUUUUGUGGUGCUAACUCCUUCAUGUUAUACUGCUUCGUUUGGCCUCAAAUAAUAGGGCUUUUUAACAAACCAGUGGAUUUUAAAAUACAAUUCACACACAAUAGGGUGGCUUAUAAAAUUUUUAUCCAAAGGGGUGUUUUUCUGCCGGUAGGACAAGAAACAAUUUGGACAAGAAGCAAUUUGGACGUGGACAGUUUGGAUUCACACAAGCUGGGUGCUACUCUUAAGUAUCGAUCAAGUUGUUUUUUUUUUGUCUUUGUUUUAUGUAUCUGAUAAAAAAAAUCCCUUUUGGUAAGUAUUUUGUAUCACUUCUUUGCGUGUUUAUUUUUUUAUUCCCCCUCCUGUAGUCGGAUAUAAUCGGGUUUCUUUGUUGUAGUUACUUACCUUGUGGUGUUGAAAGUUUAUAUCCCAUAUUCCCUUGUAAUCUGGUUCAAUUUUUUUUUUGAGGGGGGGUGGUGGUGGUAAUUUUAGAGCAAGAAUUCUGUAAGGCCAUGUGAUUAUAACCAGGAAAGAUUUAAUACAAACCUAUAGAAACCUUGCAGCGAUGAGAUUACUUGUUGCAGAACCUAAUAAAGGUGGCUUAGUUUGGAGCAUUAGCAGAUGAAAAGACUGGUAGUUCUCGAUCGAGUUGCCAACUGGUGAGGUGGUGUUUUUGGGUUGAAGAUGUUUUAAUUUUAGAUGCCUGGUGCAGCCUUGGGAAAACAAAAUUUGGAAAAAGUUUUGUGGUUGGCAAAAAUGUCUGCUCAAAACGAUAGCGUUUCGUGUGCCAACAAUUAAAAAAAAAAAAUCCCUAUUAUUAUCCCGCUGUCCUCGUCCUUACUGAG
rnacentral:misc_RNA from 1 species